UCAAAACUUGACUAUGGAUAAAAGUUUCAAGUUAGGAUUAUUUUUGAGAUUUUUACAAGCAUCAAAAGAUUUUUUAUCUAAGUUUCAAACAAGAUUUUUUAUAAGUAAUUCUUUUAUUUUAUAAAAGUAGCCGAACUUUUAAAUCCGUCGGUCAAUCAUGUGUUAGCGGAUUCUCUAAGAUGCCUAAACCCUUCCUUAGAGAAUUA
rnacentral:lncRNA from 1 species